CUUGGACCUGGCCGGUGCAGCAAGGCCCGUUUUCUGCAACUGUGAGCCCCUGAGGGGCGAGGAUUGGCUGACCUGAGCAGCCUGACCCGGCCGGCCAGCCCUCCCCAGGUGUGCCUGGGCUGAGGCUGCGAGGCAUGUGGGAUCUUAGCUCCCUGCCCAGGGAUCAAACUGGCACCCCCUGUGUUGGAAGGCUAGGUCUUAACCAUUGAGUCACCAGAAUAAAAAAAGGCGUGGAAAAAUGCUGAACAUUAGGAAUUAUUAAAGACAUGCAAAUACAAAUUACAAAAACCCAUCCACUCACACCAGUCACAAUGGCCAUCAGCAAAAAUUCUACAAACAAUAAAUGCUGAAGGGCUUGUGGAGAAAUGCUUACUCUCGGUUCUAAAUGGGACGUGGUAAGAGCCACUAAUGAGAACACAAUGGAGGUGCCUUGAAAGGGUAAACAUUGAGCUACCAUUCAAUCAAGCAUCGCCUGUGCUGGGCCUAUCGCCUGAGAGAAUAAGGAUCAAACAGACACAGGCUGGCAAUCCAGCACUCCAGCAAUAUUUACUAUAGCCAACACUUGGAAGCAACGAAAAUGUCCAUCAACAGAGGAAUGCAUAAAGAAGAAGUGGUCCAUGUACACAACAGAAUAUUACUCCAAUAAAAAAUAUUAAGUCAUGGUUUCCCUGGUUGUGCAGUGGGUGAG